CUCCGUGCCAGCAGCCGCGGUAAUACGGAGGGGGUUAGCGUUGUUCGGAAUUACUGGGCGUAAAGCGUACGUAGGCGGAUUAAUAAGUUAGAGGUGAAAUCCCAGGGCUCAACCCUGGAACUGCCUUUUAAAACUGUUAGUCUUGAGAUCGAGAGAGGUGAGUGGAAUUCCAAGUGUAGAGGUGAAAUUCGUAGAUAUUUGGAGGAACACCAGUGGCGAAGGCGGCUCACUGGCUCGAUACUGACGCUGGGGUACGAAAGUGUGGGGAGCAAACAGGAUUAGAUACCCUGGUAGUCCACACCGUAAACGAUGAAUGCCAGACGUCAGCAAGCAUGCUUGUUGGUGUCACACCUAACGGAUUAAGCAUUCCGCCUGGGGAGUACGGUCGCAAGAUUAAAACUCAAAGGAAUUGACGGGGGCCCGCACAAGCGGUGGAGCAUGUGGUUUAAUUCGACGCAACGCGCAGAACCUUACCAACCCUUGACAUACUUGUCGCGGAUUCCAGAGAUGGAUUCCUUCAGUUCGGCUGGACAAUGUACAGGUGCUGCAUGGCUGUCGUCAGCUCGUGUCGUGAGAUGUUCGGUUAAGUCCGGCAACGAGCGCAACCCACGUCCUUAGUUACCAGCAUUUAGUUGGGUACCCUAAGGAGACUGCCGGUGAUAAGCCGGAGGAAGGUGUGGACGACGUCAAGUCAUCAUGGCCCUUACGGGUUGGGCUACACACGUGCUACAAUGGCAUCUACAGUGAGUUAAUCUCCAAAAGAUGUCUCAGUUCGGAUUGGGGUCUGCAACUCGACCCCAUGAAGUUGGAAUCGCUAGUAAUCGCGGAACAGCAUGCCGCGGUGAAUACGUUCCCGGGCCUUGUACACACCGCCCGUCACACCAUGGGAAUUGGGUCUACCCGAAGGUGGUGCGCCAACUAUUUAUAGAGGCAGCCAACCACGGUAGGUUCAGUGACUGGGGUGAAGUCGUAACAAGGUAACCGUA
rnacentral:rRNA from 1 species